CCUACGGGAGGCAGCAGUGGGGAAUCUUGCACAAUGGGCGAAAGCCUGAUGCAGCAACGCCGCGUGCGGGAAGAAGGCCCUCGGGUUGUAAACCGCUUUCAGAAGGAACGAAACUGACGGUACUUUCAGAAGAAGGUGCGGCCAACUACGUGCCAGCAGCCGCGGUGACACGUAGGCACCAAGCGUUGUCCGGAUUUAUUGGGCGUAAAGAGCUCGUAGGCGGUUCAGUAAGUCGGGUGUGAAAACUUUGGGCUUAACCCAAAGCGUGCAUCCGAUACUGCUGUGACUUGAGUACGGUAGGGGAGCGGGGAAUUCCUAGUGUAGCGGUGAAAUGCGCAGAUAUUAGGAGGAACACCGGUGGCGAAGGCGCCGCUCUGGGCCGAAACUGACGCUGAGGAGCGAAAGCAUGGGUAGCAAACAGGAUUAGAUACCCUGGUAGUCCAUGCCGUAAACGUUGGGCACUAGGUGUGGGUUCCAACCAACGGAAUCCGCGCCGUCGCUAACGCAUUAAGUGCCCCGCCUGGGGAGUACGGCGCGAGUAAACGUACAAGAAGUAGACGGCGUGAGACGUGCCGACGGACGACGACGAGGGAGAGG
rnacentral:rRNA from 1 species